rnacentral:rRNA from 1 species
CCUACGGGUGGCAGCAGUGAGGAAUAUUGGUCAAUGGACGAGAGUCUGAACCAGCCAAGUAGCGUGAAGGAUGACUGCCCUAUGGGUUGUAAACUUCUUUUAUAUGGGAAUAAAAUGUUCCACGUGUGGGAUUUUGUAUGUACCAUAUGAAUAAGGAUCGGCUAACUCCGUGCCAGCAGCCGCGGUAAUACGGAGGAUCCGAGCGUUAUCCGGAUUUAUUGGGUUUAAAGGGAGCGUAGGUGGAUUGUUAAGUUAGUUGUGAAAGUUUGUGGCUCAACCGUAAAAUUGCAGUUGAAACUGGCAGUCUUGAGUACAGUAGAGGUGGGCGGAAUUCGUGGUGUAGCGGUGAAAUGCUUAGAUAUCACGAAGAACUCCGAUUGCGAAGGCAGUUCACUGGACUGCAACUGACACUGAGGCUCGAAAGUGUGGGUAUCAAACAGGAUUAGAUACCCUAGUAGUC